GACGAACGCUGGCGGCGUGCUUAACACAUGCAAGUCGAACGGAAAGGCCCUGCUUUUGUGGGGUGCUCGAGUGGCGAACGGGUGAGUAACACGUGAGUAACCUGCCCUUGACUUUGGGAUAACUUCAGGAAACUGGGGCUAAUACCGGAUAGGAGCUCCUGCUGCAUGGUGGGGGUUGGAAAGUUUCGGCGGUUGGGGAUGGACUCGCGGCUUAUCAGCUUGUUGGUGGGGUAGUGGCUUACCAAGGCUUUGACGGGUAGCCGGCCUGAGAGGGUGACCGGCCACAUUGGGACUGAGAUACGGCCCAGACUCCUACGGGAGGCAGCAGUGGGGAAUAUUGCACAAUGGGCGGAAGCCUGAUGCAGCAACGCCGCGUGCGGGAUGACGGCCUUCGGGUUGUAAACCGCUUUCGCCUGUGACGAAGCGUGAGUGACGGUAAUGGGUAAAGAAGCACCGGCUAACUACGUGCCAGCAGCCGCGGUGAUACGUAGGGUGCGAGCGUUGUCCGGAUUUAUUGGGCGUAAAGGGCUCGUAGGUGGUUGAUCGCGUCGGAAGUGUAAUCUUGGGGCUUAACCCCUGAGCGUGCUUUCGAUACGGGUUGACUUGAGGAAGGUAGGGGAGAAUGGAAUUCCUGGUGGAGCGGUGGAAUGCGCAGAUAUCAGGAGGAACACCAGUGGCGAAGGCGGUUCUCUGGGCCUUUCCUGACGCUGAGGAGCGAAAGCGUGGGGAGCGAACAGGCUUAGAUACCCUGGUAGUCCACGCUGUAAACGGUGGGUACUAGGUGUGGGGUCCAUUCCACGGGUUCCGUGCCGUAGCUAACGCUUUAAGUACCCCGCCUGGGGAGUACGGCCGCAAGGCUAAAACUCAAAGGAAUUGACGGGGCCCCGCACAAGCGGCGGAGCAUGCGGAUUAAUUCGAUGCAACGCGUAGAACCUUGCCUGGGUUUGACAUGGAUCGGGAGCGCUCAGAGAUGGGUGUGCCUCUUUUGGGGUCGGUUCACAGGUGGUGCAUGGCUGUCGUCAGCUCGUGUCGUGAGAUGUUGGGUUAAGUCCCGCAACGAGCGCAACCCUUGUUCUCUGUUGCCAGCACGUUAUGGUGGGGACUCAGUGGAGACCGCCGGGGUCAACUCGGAGGAAGGUGGGGAUGACGUCAAGUCAUCAUGCCCCUUAUGUCCAGGGCUUCACGCAUGCUACAAUGGCUGGUACAGAGAGUGGCGAGCCUGUGAGGGUGAGCGAAUCUCGGAAAGCCGGUCUCAGUUCGGAUUGGGGUCUGCAACUCGACCUCAUGAAGUCGGAGUCGCUAGUAAUCGCAGAUCAGCAACGCUGCGGUGAAUACGUUCCCGGG
rnacentral:rRNA from 1 species